CUCCUACGGGAGGCAGCAGUGGGGAAUAUUGCACAAUGGGCGCAAGCCUGAUGCAGCAACGCCGUGUGAGUGAAGAAGGUUUUCGGAUCGUAAAACUCUGUCCUAAGGGAAGAAACAAAUGACGGUACCUUAGGAGGAAGCCCCGGCUAACUACGUGCCAGCAGCCGCGGUAAUACGUAGGGGGCAAGCGUUAUCCGGAAUCACUGGGCGUAAAGGGUGCGUAGGCGGCUUAGCAAGCCAGGGGUGAAAGGCAUUGGCUCAACCAAUGUAAGCCUUUGGAACUGUUAAGCUUGAGUGCAGGAGAGGUAAGUGGAAUUCCUAGUGUAGAGGUGAAAAUUCGUAGAUAUUAGGAGGAACACCAGUGGCGAAGGCGACUUACUGGACUGUAACUGACGCUGAUGCACGAAAGCGUGGGUAGCGAACAGGAUUAGAUACCCUGGUAG
rnacentral:rRNA from 1 species